rnacentral:rRNA from 1 species
AUGAACGCUGGCGGCGUGCCUAAUACCUGCAAGUCGAGCGAACGGACGAGAAGCUUGCUUCUCUGAUGUUAGCGGCGGACGGGUGAGUAACACGUGGAUAACCUACCUAUAAGACUGGGAUAACUUCGGGAAACCGGAGCUAAUACCGGAUAAUAUUUUGAACCGCAUGGUUCAAAAGUGAAAGACGGUCUUGCUGUCACUUAUAGAUGGAUCCGCGCUGCAUUAGCUAGUUGGUAAGGUAACGGCUUACCAAGGUAACGAUGCAUAGCCGACCUGAGAGGGUGAUCGGCCACACUGGAACUGAGACACGGUCCAGACUCCUACGGGAGGCAGCAGUAGGGAAUCUUCCGCAAUGGGCGAAAGCCUGACGGAGCAACGCCGCGUGAGUGAUGAAGGUCUUCGGAUCGUAAAACUCUGUUAUUAGGGAAGAACAUAUGUGUAAGUAACUGUGCACAUCUUGACGGUACCUAAUCAGAAAGCCACGGCUAACUACGUG